rnacentral:rRNA from 1 species
GACGAACGCUGGCGGCGUGCUUAACACAUGCAAGUCGAACGGAAAGGCCCUGCUUUUGUGGGGUUCUCGAGUGGCGAACGGGUGAGUAACACGUGAGUAACCUGCCCUUGUCUUUGUGAUAUCUUCAGGAAACUGGGGCUAAUACCGGAUAGGAGCUCCUGCUCCAUGGUGGUCGUUGGAAAGUUUCGGCGGUGGGGGAUGGACUCGCGGCUUAUCAGCUUGUUGGUGGGGUAGUGGCUUACCAAGGCUUUGACGGGUAGCCGGCCUGAGAGGGUGACCGGCCACAUUGGGACUGAGAUACGGCCCAGACUCCUACGGGAGGCAGCAGUGGGGAAUAUUGCACAAUGGGCGGAAGCCUGAUGCAGCAACGCCGCGUGCGGGAUGACGGCCUUCGGGUUGUAAACCGCUUUCGCCUGAGACGAAGCGUGAGUGACGGUAAUGGGUAAAGAAGCACCGGCUAACUACGUG